AUCAACUUAAGUGUCCAUCAGCAGAUGAAUAGAAUGGAAUAUACAAUGGAAUACUAUUUAGCCAUAAAAAAGACAUUGUAUCAUUCGAGGUAACAUGGAUGAGGUUGGAGGACACUAUGUCAAAUGAAAUAUGCCAGGCACAGAAAGAUAGCUGGAAGAGUGGAUUUUGAAUGUCCCCAGCACAAAGAAACGAUGAAAGUUUGAGGUGAUACAUAUGUUCAUUAUCCUGAUUUGAUCACUAUACAUUGUAUACAUGUAUCAACAUAUCCCACUACCCUCUCAAAAAGUUAGCAAUAAUUUACAAAUUUAAAAAAAUCUGUGUACCUAGUACUGGAAAGAAGGUAGAAAUUGACAACAUUUCAACAAUGAUGGCAUUCUAUUUAACCACAAGUGAAAUAUUUAAGUGUUAUUGGAGUAUUUCCAGCAGAAAGAUUUCACAACAAGAGAGAAAAGAUCUGGAAAUAGGUGGGCAGAUAUUAAAGAACCAGAGGAAAUAGCAAAUAUGGACCACUGGUGCAUGCCUUUCAUUCCUCAGUAACUUCGUCGAAAGAUGAGCUAUGUAGGGAACUAGUCUGGCAGUAUUCAGCCCUGGAGUUUUCUUAAAUGAUAGUUAUGCUAUCAUUCAGAGAACAUUAGUAGUAAGAUUCUUAUCCUUAAUUUUACAUAAAAAAGACUAGUCAUUUUCAUAACUAAUUAGUUGAUGCAUUUGUGGCUUAGAUGGGGAAAAAUUGAGAAACUAUGAUAGUUGGCAAAUACUUAGAACUGACAGGAGUAAAAUUAGAAACUGAUAAAAUAAGAAUUUGGGGUUGCUAGGAGUCCUUGAGAAAAGUAGCCUCACUAAAAGAGUGAAUCAGGGAAAAGUUAUGCUGAUUCUAGAUGCAUUACUCAUUAGGAGAAUGCAAGCAUGCCCUCUUCACUCUUGAAGUGGAGGCCGUGGGCACAUUGAGGGAGGGCCUGGCUGUGGCAGGCAUGCCUGCAAACCCUGGGGGUCUGCCUCACAUUGUUUGUACAGUAAAGAAAGAUUUAAUACUGGCACGUGGCUCUAGUUUACAGAUUCUAAUCUGCCAAAUCCUAUUUCAAGGAUGUGGACGGGAGAUUACAUUGAGAACUAUGUGCUUAUAGAAAUGAAUGAAAGGCUUUUUGUUGUUGUUGUUUAAAUGAAAGGCUUUAACAUUUUUUCUCUGAAUGACCUUAGGCCGAUCACUCAUUCACACUGGAUCUUAAUUUCUUAUCUAAAAAUGAAGGAACGGUUUAUUGGAAUAGUCUCCUAAAGACUGUUCUGCUUCUAAAUCUAUCCAUUUUGGUUUUUUUUUUCUUUGUUUUGGUUUUUGUUUUGAGAGAGGGUCUUGCUUUGUCGCCCAGGCUGGAGUCGAAUGAGUCUGUUGUGAAGAGUUGAGGAUGGAAGGUGGUAUUUAGUAUUACCCCCAUGAGUGUUCCGGGGCUUUACAUACAAUAGUUGCUUUAAUCCUGCAUUAUUCAUUCACUCUAUAAAUCGCACCCAUGAGUUUAGGAUAUCACUGUCCCCAUUUUACAGGUGAGAGUGAGUAACAUGGACAAGUUCACUUAACUACUAUUGGUUAGUUAAGUGGACUUGAGGUGGACUACAUUGAGAAAUGGCUGUAAUAAUGAUAUCAGUGAGUCAUUGUAAGGUUUAAAUGAAAUGAAAAAAGUCAUUGUUUUGGGUAUUAGAAUUGUGCUGGUUUUUCUUUCUUCCUGUGUUCUCACAGAUUACGUGGAAGUUAAAAAAAAAAAAAAAAAA